ACGCAUUUCGGUGUGUAAACUCCUUUUAUAAGGGAAGAUAAUGACGGUACCUUAUGAAUAAGCACCGGCUAACUCCGUGCCAGCAGCCGCGGUAAUACGGAGGGUGCAAAGCGUUACUCGGAAUCACUGGGCGUAAAGGAUGCGUAGGCUGGAGAUCAAGUCAGGAGUGAAAUCCAACGGCUCAACCGUUGAACUGCUCCUGAAACUGGUCACCUAGAAUAUGGGAGAGGUAGAUGGAAUUGGUGGUGUAGGGGUAAAAUCCGUAGAUAUCACCAGGAAUACCGAUUGCGAAGGCGAUCUACUGGAACAUUAUUGACGCUGAGGCAUGAAAGCGUGGGGAGCAAACAGGAUUAGAUACCCUGGUAGUCCACGCCCUAAACGAUGCACACUAGUUGUUGCCCUGCUAGUCAGGGCAGUAAUGCACUUAACAGAUUAAGUGUGCCGCCUGGGGAGUACGGUCGCAAGAUUAAAACUCAAAGGAAUAGACGGGGACCCGCACAAGCGGUGGAGCAUGUGGUUUAAUUCGAAGAUACACGAAGAACCUUACCUGGCCUUGAUAUCCUAAGAAUCCUGCAGAGAUAUGGGAGUGCUAGUUUACUAGAACUUAGAGACAGGUGCUGCACGGCUGUCGUCAGCUCGUGUCGUGAGAUGUUGGGUUAAGUCCCG
rnacentral:rRNA from 1 species